CCGAGUUUACAACUCCCAAACCCCUGUGAACAUACCUAUACGUUGCCUCGGCGGAUCAGCCCGCACCCCGUAAAAAGGGACGGCCCGCCCGAGGACCCCUAAACUCUGUUUUUAGUGGAACUUCUGAGUAAAACAAACAAAUAAAUCA
rnacentral:misc_RNA from 1 species